AGGCUCAAAGGAUUCAAAUACUUGCCCAAGGUCCCAGGUUCGUUUGAUUGACAGAGCAUGAGUACCCUCCUAAAUGCCCCUUGAGGUCUCUAUAUUUAGGAGGAAGCAGCUUCAGAACUCUAGCUCCCCACCCCAGGUCCAUUCCAGUUUAGAAACUCCACAGCCACCUCAACAGCAGGAACAAAGGUGGGUCUCUGUCCUGCCUCUGGGGCCAGGCUGGCUGAUGGCUUCAGGCCCAACCAAAAGAUCCCUUCCACCCACCCGACUCUAGCAACACCCACAUCACCAACCCUGGGCCUCCCACCAGAGCCUCCACCUUCUAGGAAGUCACCCUCCCUCCUGCAAGAUGCUGGUGGCUGAGACUGGAGGGACCCUUUCAAUUUCAGGAUAAACAAACUGUCGUUCUGGCCCAGCCCUCUGCCGGCUUGCUGCUUCCCGCCCCCCUCCAUCCGCAGUGCACAGUCGCUCUGUUCUCCUGCCAACUUGGCAGCUCAUCGCUGCUGUUACUAUCAACACCUCCAAGGGAAAAGGGAGAGGAGUCAGCUCUGAUCGCCUGGCGCACUGUGCAGCAAAUUCAUGUCAGAGCCAGCCUUGGAAUGUCUCCCAAGCUCCCAAGGCUCCUGGUGAGGAGGAAAAGGUACCUCACUGGGUUACAGCCGAUGGUGAUGAAGACAUGAAGAUGAUGCCUGUGUUCUCCUUGGGAGCCUUUCUCCCAGAUGUGAAACUGAUCCUAAGACCCCCUGUAAUUUCCUGCUGAAAAUCUCCACCAAGAAACACAGCCACAGCCACAGUUCUUCCUGGUAAGAAGCCCCCAGGGCCAGGCAACAAGAAAAGUGAGCUCGUUCAGCAGGCUGGGAUGUAAAUAAGCCACAAGAGGCUGUGCCAUUCUGGGUUGCACCUGUGAGCAUCACUCAGCUGAAGCCCCAUCAGCGUUUCCAUGACAAACUCGUAUUUCCGGAUGCCUUUCUUCCAGCUUGAAGAGCCUGCCUCGUGGUUGUGAAAAGUGAAAAAGAAAAUCUAAAAAAGACAAAUGGAGAAGGAACAGCUAGUGAAGUCAGAGGAAGAUUGGAAGACCCUGGUGUCCUGGAAGCAACUGAAGAAAGUGUUUCAAGAAGAAAGGAGUGAUCACAUGACUUAAAAUGCCACCGAUGGGUCAAAUAAGAACAGAGAAUUGACCAUGGAAUCUGUCAACACAGAAGUCAUCAGUGGCCUUGAUAAAUGUAGUUUCACUGCCAUGUGGGGGAAAAAUGAUGUCAUCAGCUGAAAGUGAGAAGCAAGGAGAACUGCGUGCAGGCCUGAAAAGAAAGGAGGCGUGAUGCAGUCAUCUGCCAGAGGGAGUAGGAGAGGCGACUUGCCUGGGGAAAACAGUGUAGGAUUGCUGGGCAGCAAUAUGGCAGCAAUGUGGUCCUCUGAGGUCAGUGGUGAUGAAUUUAAAGGGAAACCUUUCAGUACAGCUCUGUGUUUUUCUCCAGCCACCUUUAACACCUGGAGUGCAGGCAUUAAAUAGCUAAAAGUCACAUUUGACAAGUGUUGAUUUUGCUAGGCCUAUAGGUUGGGAGAGAGAAGGUCAGAAUGGUUGUCAUUGUUAUCUAUUGCUGUGAAACACAUGACUCCAACACAAUUACUCCCAAACAACAAAUAUUUAUUACCUCAUAGUUUCUGUGGGUCACAGUUUGGAAUUUGGAAGCAGCUCAGGCUGGGCAGUUCUGGCUUGGGGUCUUUCACGAGGCUGCAGUCAAAUGUUACCUCAGGUUACAGUCAUCUAAAAGCUUGUAUAGGGCUGGAGGAUCUGCUUCCAGGGUGGUGCACUCACAUGGCUGGCAAGUCAGUAGUGGUGGUUGGUGGACAACUCAGUUCCUCUACAGGCUGUCAGAGUGUACUUACAGCCUGACAACCAGCUUCUCCCAGAGCUACCAGUCCAAGAGGGAGACCUAAUCAGAAGCUAUCCUUCUUUGACCUAUGCUCAGAAGUGACAUUGCGUUCCUU
rnacentral:lncRNA from 1 species